rnacentral:rRNA from 1 species
UACGGAGGGUGCAAGCGUUAUCCGGAUUUACUGGGUUUAAAGGGUGCGUAGGCGGAUAAGUAAGUCCGUGGUGAAAUCCUGCAGCUUAACUGCAGAACUGCCGUGGAUACUAUUUGUCUUGAAUAUCGUGGAGGUUAGCGGAAUAUGUCAUGUAGCGGUGAAAUGCUUAGAUAUGACAUAGAACACCCAUUGCGAAGGCAGCUAACUACGCGAUUAUUGACGCUGAUGCACGAUAGCGUGGGGAUUAAACAGG